rnacentral:sRNA from 1 species
CGGCGGCGAGCGGACGGCUGCAUUUACGGGGUCUCCCGGAGGGCCAGAGUCGGAAAUUGUUGAAAACGUUAAAUUUGAUUCCUAAAAGGACUCAAUGGCUUACAGAAGAGACGAAAUGUGGUCUGAGGGACGAUAUGAAUAUGAAAGAAUUCCGAGAGAACGAGCACCUCCUCGAAGUCAUCCCAGUGAUGAAUCUGGUUAUAGAUGGACAAGAGACGAUCAUUCUGCAAGCAGGCAACCUGAAUACAGGGACAUGAGAGAUGGCUUUAGAAGAAAAAGUUUCUACUCUUCCCAUUAUGCGAGAGAGCGGUCUCCUUAUAAAAGAGACAAUACUUUUUUCAGAGAAUCACCUGUUGGCCGAAAGGAUUCUCCACACAGCAGAUCUGGUUCCAGUGUCAGUAGCAGAAGCUACUCUCCAGAAAGGAGCAAAUCAUACUCUUUCCAUCAGUCUCAACAUAGAAAGUCCGUGCGUCCUGGUGCCUCCUACAAACGGCAGAAUGAAGGAAAUCCUGAAAGAGAUAAAGAGAGGCCUGUCCAGUCUUUGAAAACAUCAAGAGAUACUUCACCCUCAAGUGGUUCAGCAGUUUCUUCAUCAAAGGUGUUAGACAAACCCAGUAGGCUAACUGAAAAGGAACUUGCUGAGGCUGCAAGCAAGUGGGCUGCUGAAAAGCUAGAGAAAUCAGAUGAAAGUAACUUGCCUGAAAUUUCUGAGUAUGAGGCGGGAUCCACAGCACCAUUGUUUACUGACCAGCCAGAGGAACCUGAGUCAAACACAACACAUGGGAUAGAAUUAUUUGAAGAUAGUCAGCUAACCACUCGCUCUAAAGCAAUAGCAUCAAAAACCAAAGAGAUUGAACAGGUGAGAAUCUAGUUGUCUUCAUGUACAUAAUUUUUGUUUGUGUUGCUUUGCACAUGUAAACAUUUAUUGAAUAAAUAUGCUUCAUUUCUUUUUCCACCUGUAACUCUAAAACUACAACUUAAAAAAUUAUAAAAAUUGUUUGAGUUGACUUCACAGUCCGUUUGAUCAGUAUGGUCCCCCACCUGGAUUGUUUAUUUUUAAAUAAAAAACAGACUUCUUUUUUACAGAAUAUUAAUAUUCUAGUUAGUAUGAAGCAAUUAAAAAUUAUUAAAGUUAAUAGGGAUGGGAUGGAAGAAAUGUUCAAUGUAGCAAAAUGUUAGCAAAUGUUAUUUUUGAAUAUUGGGAUUACAGAUGUUUGUUAUGUUUUUUCAUUAUACUUUAAGGUAGUUUCCAAAUAUUAAAGGAAAAAUAAAGGAUACUAUUUAAGUCUA